AAGAUCUACCCAGAGACCAUCUCUGCACCCCUGCUCCUGGACUGUGUAGUCCUUCCUUCUCACUCUGCUCCUGCAGCAGUUCCAGGCUUUCCUGCUCUCUGGGUCCUAAUACAGUUACCGACCACCGCAUUUUUUCUGCAUGACUUGGCAAUGUUGUCUUUGUUGGCUCUUCCCUGUGUGGAGGAAUCAUUGAACCUUAUAUGUCUGAUUUCCCUCAUCUACCACGUAGUUGUGUGAUUACUGAAGACACAUUUGACAUUAAUAUAAUGAUC